AUUGAACGCUGGCGGCAGGCUUAACACAUGCAAGUCGAGCGAGCGGCGGACGGGUGAGUAAUGUCUGGGAAACUGCCUGAUGGAGGGGGAUAACUACUGGAAACGGUAGCUAAUACCGCAUACCCUCAGAUGUGCCCAGAGGGGAUUAGCUAGUAGGUGGGGUAAGGGCUCACCUAGGGGACGAUCCCUAGCUGGUCUGAGAGGAUGACCAGCAAAACUGGAACUGGGACACGGUCCAGACUCCUACGGGGGGCAGCAGUGGGGAAUAUUGAACAAUGGGCGAAAGCCGGAUGCAGCCAUGCCGCGUGUGUGAAGAAGGCCUUCGGGUUGUAAAGCACUUUCAGCGAGGAGGCGUUACUCGCAGAAGAAGCACCGGCUAACUCCGUGCCAGCAGCCGCGUAAUUC
rnacentral:rRNA from 1 species